rnacentral:lncRNA from 1 species
AUUGUUCAAAAGCCCACAACUACAUCACUCUAGCUGCUCCAGAGCUGAUCAGUCACAAAAGCACCAAAGCUACACUAAUGCUUCAAGCAGUUCAAAAGCCUUCAGACAACCACUCCAGCUUCUUGUAUCCUCCUGUUUUAAGGUACAAGCUUUCUUUGUCCAGAACACCCUAGAAAAAAGUACAUCAAAUUAGUAUAUUGUUGCUACAUUUGCAAAUAAAAAUACAGUUUUGAUGCCUUAUCUACCUCCACUAGGCGGUGUUGCAGCCUUAUGCACCAACUUCAGCUGGUGCAAUCAAGGUUAAUCAUCAUUAAGUUGAUGGCUCAUAUAAAUCUAAACAUAAACAAGAUAAGAUAUAGACUAUUACUUUCUUGUACGGCCAUGCAACUGACAUCAUGUAAGCAUCAGCCAUAUACUGAUCGCAUUUUGAUUAGGGAAACAUAUUGGUCACCUAAAAUGGGGCAAUAACCCUUUUUCUUGCUCCACACCUUUGUGUCACUAUAUGUGUGGAGAAACCAAUUCACACUUAUGUGCACGAAGAUUUGUAAGUCAAAUCAUGAAUAUAGAGUCCAAAUCAGACCGCAGCUACCAAGAAUUUUUUGCAUAAACACAUGCCCAAGUAAAGAAGAGUCAAAAUUGAUUGGCCCAGCCUUUUAGGGUAUUACAGUGCACAAUGUUUCAGUAUUUUAGACUGCACUACUGUAAUAUCACAGGAAUUACAAAUGGAGCAUUCAAUACUACUAGUACAAUGACCUUGCGUUGCGACGACACACAAAUUAUUCAAUAAAAUAUUAGUGGACAACAAUUACAUGAAAACGAACAAUUGGCUUAACACAAAAAAAUCUUGAAUAAACCCGUGUGAUGGUGAUUGCUCUACUUACUUGGAAGUACUUAGUAAGGGCCUUAGACUUUCCUGCCCGCUUGAAGUGCCUUUUGGGUCAAUUACAUAGCUCACCUGCAAAAUAAGAUGUCAAAUAUACUAUCACAUAACCAUCCCAAAGGAUAAACCAGGAUCACCAAACACACAAUACUACCACAGAUCUCACUGCACAUGUGGAAGAAGACAUGACCAAAGCAGUAUCACUCUUCCUUCAAUGCCACGCAAAAUGUCACUUAUUUGUUCUGAACUAUCUAUUCCAGUGAUCUUGCAGGAGCUGCAAAAAGAUCGAUCACAAACAGUUAAAACAUUUGUUUGAAAGGAAAUUAGGAUAAGCUUCCUAGUGCUCAAGCCAUUGCAGUAACAAUGAAUGCAAUGAGAAACCUAAGAAAAAUUGGGUGGACUUGUUUAGAACCAGAGAGUAGUAGCACAAACAUCAUCCCAAUUAUAAAAACAGUUAUCCGUCACGAACAGUGAAACAUUUGUUGGUAAGGAAAGCAGGAUAAGCUUCCUAGUGCUGAAGCCAUUGCAGUAACAAUGAAUGCAAUGAGAAAUUCUAAGAAAAAACGGUUAUUGUUAUUUUUAUGCCAUUUUGUAUUUAUAAUUAGUUGGAUGAAUCACAUACAUAGAAACGUACCUAAUAAGCCUAGCUUUGGCUGCAGCACAGUCAGCCCCUCCAUCCUUCUUAUCAACGUCAUUAACAAAAAGCUUCUUUGUAGGCCUCCUUGUAGGUGAUGUGCACGACCUAAA